rnacentral:tRNA from 1 species
GUCGGCCAUGGGCAAGCACCUCGUGCAUUGCGGCGCCACGGGCGCCGGCCAGGGCGCGAAGAUCUGCAACAACCUGGUGCUCGGCAUCACCAUGGCCGGCG